rnacentral:ncRNA from 5 species
UGAGGUAGUAGGUUGUAUAGUUU